GCUCAGUACAUGGCAUGUGCCUGUCUUCCCAGCUACAGGGAGGUGAGGCAGAGGGAUUACUUGUGCCUAGAGUUCUAGGUUACAUUCACCUAUGCUAAUCUGGUAUCCACAGGAAGUUCAGCAUCAAAACGGUGAUCUCCCAGAAGCAGGGGAACCACUAGGUUGCCUAAGGAGAGAGGAACUGACCCAGGUCAGCAAUGGAGCAGGCCAAAAUUCCCCUAAUCAGUAGUGGAAUUUUAUCUGUGAAUAGCCACUACACUCUAACCUAAGCAACUUAGCAAGACCCCACUUCU
rnacentral:SRP_RNA from 1 species